rnacentral:rRNA from 1 species
CAGUAGGGAAGAAGCCGGCCCUUCGGGUUGGUGACGGUACCUGCAGAAGAAGCGCCGGCUAACUACGUGCCAGCAGCCGCGGUAAUACGUAGGGCGCAAGCGUUAUCCGGAAUUAUUGGGCGUAAAGAGCUCGUAGGCGGUUUGUCGCGUCUGCCGUGAAAGUCCGGGGCUUAACCCCGGAUCUGCGGUGGGUACGGGCAGACUAGAGUGCAGUAGGGGAGACUGGAAUUCCUGGUGUAGCGGUGAAAUGCGCAGAUAUCAGGAGGAACACCGAUGGCGAAGGCAGGUCUCUGGGCUGUAACUGACGCUGAGGAGCGAAAGCAUGGGGAGCGAACAGGAUUAGAUACCCUGGUAGUCCAUGCCGUAAACGUUGGGCACUAGGUGUGGGGGACAUUCCACGUUUUCCGCGCCGUAGCUAACGCAUUAAGUGCCCCGCCUGGGGAGUACGGCCGCAAGGCUAAAACUCAAAGGAAUUGACGGGGGCCCGCACAAGCGGCGGAGCAUGCGGAUUAAUUCGAUGCAACGCGAAGAACCUUACCAAGGCUUGACAUGAACCGGAAUGAUGCAGAGAUGUGUCAGCCACUUGUGGCCGGUUUACAGGUGGUGCAUGGUUGUCGUCA